GUAGGUGGCAAGCGUUGUCCGGAAUUAUUGGGCGUAAAGCGCGCGCAGGCGGUUCUUUAAGUCUGAUGUGAAAGCCCACGGGCUCAACCGUGGAGGGUCAUUGGAAACUGGAGAACUUGAGUACAGAAGAGGAAAGCGGAAUUCCACGUGUAGCGGUGAAAUGCGUAGAGAUGUGGAGGAACACCAGUGGCGAAGGCGGCUUUCUGGUCUGUAACUGACGCUGAGGCGCGAAAGCGUGGGGAGCAAACAGGAUUAGAUACCCUGGUAGUCCACGCCGUAAACGAUGAGUGCUAAGUGUUAGGGGGGUUUCCGCCCCUUAGUGCUGCAGCUAACGCAUUAAGCACUCCGCCUGGGGAGUACGGCCGCAAAGGCUG
rnacentral:rRNA from 1 species